CUCGUGUCUGGAAAUCAUGGUGGCUCUCGUUCGUGUUGUACGCGGCCUUUCUUUGGUGUCUGUCGAGAUGAUGAGGAACAGAGCUGCGGGUUCCAUCAUAAAAGUUAUGGAUGGACUUUUGGUAAAAAUGAACAGAAGCAGGACGUGGAUGGUCAUCAGAAAUGAGAAAGCAAAGAUUGAAGAUAUUGGCUAUGGACUUUUAGAAAAAGUCAUGUGA
rnacentral:lncRNA from 1 species